rnacentral:rRNA from 1 species
UCCCAGACUCCUACGGGAGGCAGCAGUGGGGGAUAUUGCACAAUGGGGGAAACCCUGAUGCAGCGACGCCGCGUGGGUGAAGAAGCGCCUCGGCGCGUAAAGCCCUGUCAGCAGGGAAGAAAAUGACGGUACCUGAAGAAGAAGCCCCGGCUAACUACGUGCCAGCAGCCGCGGUAAUACGUAGGGGGCAAGCGUUAUCCGGAUUUACUGGGUGUAAAGGGGGCGCAGACGGCGAUGCAAGCCAGGAGUGAAAGCCCGGGGCCCAACCCCGGGACUGCUCUUGGAACUGCGUGGCUGGAGUGCAGGAGGGGCAGGCGGAAUUCCUGGUGUAGCGGUGAAAUGCGUAGAUAUCAGGAGGAACACCGGUGGCGAAGGCGGCCUGCUGGACCGCGGCUGACGUUGAGGCUCGAAAGCGUGGGGAGCGAACAGGAUUAGAUCCCCGGGUA